CCCCUAACGCGAACCCGCUAACCCCCUGCCAUUAGGGACAAUAAUACGGAGGGUGCGAGCGUUAAUCGGAAUUAUUGGGCGUAAAGGGUGCGUAGGUGGUUGAAUAAGUUAUCUGUGAAAUCCCUGGGCUUAACCUGGGGGAGAGAGAUAAGACUGUCUGACUAGAGUAUGGGAGAGGGUACUGGAAUUUCCGGUGUGGCGGUGAAAUGCGUAGAGAUCGGAAGGAACACCGGUGGCGAAGGCGGCUACCUGGCCUAAUACUGACACUGAGGCACGAAAGCGUGGGGAGCAGACAGGAUU
rnacentral:rRNA from 1 species